CUAACAUGUAUAUGAGUUUGUGGGUGUUAAACCUAUAUAAGCAAAAGGAAACUAAUUCGUGGGAUCCCCUUCUAGGGCGCACCAUGGAUUGACCUUGAUUUUUUGAGAAGGGUUUGAGUGUUAGCAUAUCUAUUGGGACCCAAAAGAUGGUGAACUAUGCCUGAGUAGAGUGUAGCCAGAGGAAACUUUGGUGGAGGCUUGUAGCGAUACUAAUAUGUAAAUCCUUCAUCAGACUUAGGUAUUGCCUUAAUUCUCUGGAAAUAGU
rnacentral:ncRNA from 1 species